rnacentral:tRNA from 1 species
GUUGGUAUAGCUCACUGGUAGAGCAUUUGCCUAGCAUGCUGAUGGCCUGAGUUCAAUCCCCAGUAUCACA